rnacentral:lncRNA from 1 species
CCGCCUCUACCCUGCUCCUCCUCGCUCUUGCAAGCCAAGCCGAUGGCCAAAUCGUCCUUCACCUCCCCCUACCGGCAGAAGCGCCGCCAUGCGACCGUCAUCCCUGGUGACCCAUCGUCAUCACCAAUCACCUCGCAGAUUGGCUGCCACACGCACUUGGACACUUUGUCAUCCUCGUUCAUGUGCCCAAGCCCUUAAAUAGGCGUUCCCCAAACCUCCUGCCUCCAUUGCCCAAAACACUGAGCUCCUGACAUGUCUCUGUUCGCUGGACGAAUCCUCCAUGCCCCGGCCAUCUCCCUCCAAUAGCCUGCACCUAAAGCUCCUCCACCCUCCUAGCUCCAACCUCCGCCACUUCCUGUCACCCGUGGUGCACUGACCCGACAGGAAUCAAAGUUUUCCCCGCCACCCGAAGCUUCAACCGCCACCGUCUACCCCACCGUGGACACCCACCCUCCGGCCCUCUUCUUCACCACCC